UAGUAUAUAAAAGCUAGAGAAUAAAAUCCACCUCACUGUACGAUUUUCAUAUUUGCGACGUGCUAUAUUUCCUUCUGAUCGAAAAUAUGAAGACUAUCUUGCUAUGUGUGCUCGCUUUGGCCUUGAUGACCUAUUGCUGCGGUUUUUCGAUUUCGGUCUUGUGCUGGAGGGAGCAAGAUGGGAAAGUGACCUGCAAUCAUACUUACGAUCCCACCAAAAACGACGCAGUGGUAGCCCUCCCUGUACAGGCUGGCCAACAGGUCAGAUCCUACGCAGUGGCAAAUAAUGGUGGUAAUGACUAUUAUUCACCUCGAGUUCCUCCUCCAUUAUAAACUGAAGCACUGAAAGGACAACAAAAACAUGGAAAUAUUUAUUCAUUUUAAAAAUCAUUUCCAAUUUUUUAAAUUGUCUAUGGUAUAUAGAAAUGUUUGUAUAAAAGUUCUUCAAAAUAAAUGC